AUUUAUGUAGUUUAAUUAAAACAUUAUAUUUUCAUUAUAAAGUUAGAAUAAAUUCUCGUAAAUA
rnacentral:tRNA from 1 species